GACGAACGCUGGCGGCGUGCUUAACACAUGCAAGUCGAACGGUGAAGCACCUUCCUUUUGGUGGGUGUGGAUGAGUGGCGAACGGGUGAGUAACACGUGAGUAACCUGCCCCCUUCUUCUGGAUAACCGCAUGGAAGUGUGGCUAAUACGGGAUAUUCUGUGCCUGCUGCAUGGUGGGUGUGGGAAAGAUGCGCUUUUGGGUGUUUUUGGUGGGGGAUGGGCUCGCGGCCUAUCAGCUUGUUGGUGGGGUGAUGGCCUACCAAGGCGGUGACGGGUAGCCGGCCUGAGAGGGUGGACGGUCACACUGGGACUGAGACACGGCCCAGACUCCUACGGGAGGCAGCAGUGGGGAAUAUUGCACAAUGGGCGCAAGCCUGAUGCAGCGACGCCGCGUGAGGGAUGGAGGCCUUCGGGUUGUAAACCUCUUUCGCCAGUGAAGCAGGCCUGUCCCUUGUGGGUGGGUUGACGGUAGCUGGAGAAGAAGCGCCGGCUAACUACGUG
rnacentral:rRNA from 1 species